rnacentral:tRNA from 1 species
GGGGGGAUGUCCGAGUGGCUAAAGGAACGCGGCUGUAAACCGCGUGGCACUGCCUACGCAGGUUCGAAUCCUGCUCCCCCCA